GUCGAAAAUGGCGAUUUCCGUGGCUUCUCUUGCUUCAUCUUUUGCUUCCCUUUCAUUUUCUUCUCAGAUUUCUCAAAAACCCUAUGCUGUAUCCCUUGCUCAUUCGAAGCAAUUCUCUUUCUCUCUCGCUUCCAAAAUCUCUACGCUUGUAGUGUCAGCUUCUGUUGCUGAAGCACCGGAGACGGAGGAAUUGGAAACCAGAGAGAAUCUUUUGAAGCUUGUGAAAAGUAGACUUCCUGGAGGUUUCGCUGCACAGCCUAUUUUUGGAACUGGUAGACGUAAAAGUGCUAGUGCUCGUGUUGUUCUUCAGGAAGGUUCUGGAAAAAUCAUCAUCAACUAUCGUGAUGCUAAGGAAUAUCUUCAAGGAAAUCCAUUAUGGAUUCAAUAUGUCAAAACUCCACUGGCCACUUUAGGAUAUGAGGCUAGUUAUGACAUUUUUGUCAAGGUGGAAGGCGGUGGUCUUUCUGGGCAGGCUCAAGCAAUUUCCCUUGGCAUUGCUCGUGCACUCCUAAAGGUUAGCGAGAGCCAUAGAAAACCAUUGAGGGAGGAGGGUCUGUUAACUAGAGAUGCCAGAGUUGUUGAGCGGAAGAAAGUUGGUCUCAAGAAGGCUCGCAAGCGUCCACAAUUUUCCAAGCGUUGAGGUUGGUACUUACUCACUGUGGCAGCAUUUGGUAGAAAGAUUUGGUGGUUUAUUGACCCAGAUUGGGAAAAAAGAGCAUAUCAAUGAUCUGUUUUGACUGUUGAAGAUGAGAAAAUGUUUCUGAAUUAUCAUCCUCAAUUGCUUCUUUGUAAAAAUUUUGUAUUAGUCCCUACUCAGAAUUACAAUUUGUUCUGUUGAUGGUAUUUUUU
rnacentral:misc_RNA from 1 species